GGCCAGGCUAGUCUCGAACUCCUGACUUCAAGUGAUCUGCCAGCCUCAGCCUCAGUGCUAGGAUUACAGGCGUGAGCCACCAUGCCUGGUGCCAUAAUCUUUUAAAACACAAAUUAGAUUGUUAGUUCCUAUCUUAAAAUCUUCCAGAAGAAUCUCACCACUCUUAGAAUAUGGUCCAUUCCCUACUGUGCCCAUAGGGCCCUGCGGGGCCAGAGGCUCCCUGCCCUCUCAUCUGGAACUCCCCUCUGGGUGGUUCCUCAUGCUGACCAGCCUCAGGGCCUUUGCACAGACGUCCUGCCUGAAAUACCACCCCCACUUUCUGUACUGGCUCCUCAUUACUCAGGCCCCCACUUAGAGGCCACCUCACCAGAAUCCCUGUCCCUGCACCUGUGCCUGUCCUGCAUAGCACUCGUGGCAGGUUGUAGCAACACGUUUCUUGGUGUCUUUGCAGAGUGUCACCUAUCAACUUGCAGUUCCUUGGAGGCAACGGAAUAGGCGCCGGUGUGCCUGAUCCAAGAAAUUUUGACCCAGGAUUCCAGGUCCCAAAUCACAGAGCCUUUCUGGCUGCUUUCUGGCAGUAUGAGUGCAGCAGCUGGAAGAAAUUAGGGGUCUCCAGGUGCACCAAGAAGGGGGAUCGAUGUUCAACAUCAGCAUGCAGAAGACUUUCCUGUGGAGCUGAAACAGGUUGCUUACAGUGUGAAGAAAAAAGGGCUGUUUUAUGAAGUACCUUUCUCUGUUAAUUUGGACAAUCACAGGAAUGAUCUGAUGAUGAAGAUAUGUUUGUUUUAUUUAUUGUGUUUGAGACAGAAUCUCACUCUGUUGCUCAGGCUGGAGUGCACUGGCGCGAUCUCGGCUCACCAUAACCUCCGCCUCCCAGGUUCAAGUGAUUCUCCUGCCUCAGCCUCCUGAGUAGCUGGGUAGCUAGGAUUACAGGCAUGCGCCACCAUGCCCGGCUAAUUUUUGCAUUUUUAGUAGAGACAGGGUUAUACCAUGUUUGCUAGGCUGGUCUCAAACUCCUGACCUCAGGUGACCUGCCCACCUCGGCCUCCCAAAGUGCUGGGAUUACAGCAUGAGCCACCAUACCCAGCCAUGUUUAUGUUUUUAUGCAUAUGUGAUACGAACAGAAGGCAGAGAAAUAUUGGGUAACAAAAGGCAGUUCCCCGGCAAAGGCUCCACCCUCAAGCCUGGAAACCUCAGCCCUAAAAGAGAACAGUUAUCCCUGUUUUCCCACCCAAAUGUUACUUUUUUGGCCUGCCCCAUUUCCCUAUCCUGUGCUUAUAAACCCCAGACCUUAGCUGGCAGAAGGACAAGUGGCUGAACAUCGAGAGAAGAAGCAACUGAACAUCAGAGACUACGGAUAGAUGCAGCUUAACUUCAGACGGCACAGCUUCCGAGACGAACCCAGCUGAAGAUGGCAGGCUUCAGGGAAAGAUCACCUUCUUCCCACACCAUCCCCUUUCCAGCUCACCUUCUGCUGAGAGCCAUUUCCACCGCUUAAUAAAAUCCUCCACAUUCAUCACCUUUCAAACCAUUCGUGCGACCUGAUUCUUCCUGGAUGCUGAACAAGAACCAGGGUACCAAGAGGGCAGGGUGUAAAAAACUGUCACCCUGACUCUCCAUUGAGCUGGUUAAUAUUUAGCUAUCUGUGGAUGGCAACUGUUAAAAGGGCAUUAACUGUAACACACCCCUAGACACUGCCAGGGUGCCAGAGCCUAAAAGCGCUCGCCCUAGCCCCAGCACCUGCUUGCCUGCAUGCUCCCCCUCCCGAAGGGGUUUGAGUGCGAGUAAGUGAGCCACACCCCUGUCGAAAGUCCAGCGAAGGGGUCAAGGGAAUUCUCCCAUCUCGUAUGCACAAUGAUUUCUGACAUUUUUGUUGAGUUUCUGGCUUUUCACGAAGCACCUCUACACUAGCAGACAGGCAGGGUGGGCACCUGAUAUCCCCACUCCACAGGAUGGGGAGACUGAGGUCUGGGAAUCAGGUCAGUCUUUUGCAAUAAGUGAGAGACUAAAGUGCUUCCAACAACAGGGCUCUGGUGCUGGAAGCACAGAGCAGGUGUGGAGGGGCGGUCACUCUGUGCCCCAUGGGUGUGUUCCCUGGGUUCCCCCAGCUCUGCUCAGCCCUGCUUCUCGGCUCUGUCCCUGAGCUGUGGCUCCCCUUCCGGGCACGAGGUUUCUGUGCUUCCUUUCUUAGACCCAGGACAACACUUGCCGUCACACGGGGCCUGUGCUUGGAACAGCCCCAGCUUUGGUUUAAUGUUCUGCUGUCACCAUCUUAUCAUUUUUAGUAGUCUAUCUUUGAACAUGUGUCUUGUAACUGAAGUCCAAUGGGACAGUGGAGUGUGUCUGUGGCAGGAGGCUCAAGCUGGGUGUAUG
rnacentral:lncRNA from 1 species